AAAAUAUUUUGUUCAUUUCCUCUCUGCCUGCAAUGUGGGAUAAGAAAAUUUUCUAUGAGUCCGAAAACCUCUCAUAUUGUGAUUCAAUUUACCAAAAGAUAUCUUGGAUUCUAAAUAUUUAGAAAAUAAAAUGAGCACCAAUUCUGGUUCCUGGCAGGGAGCUUCUAAACCUUGGGAAUUCCCAGAGUGACAGGAAAGUCUUUGUUAUUCACGGUGGGCUACUUGGAUGACAGGCCAUAGAGAAUGACGACAAAUACAUGGAAGCAGAACCAUCCCAGCCAUCAGAACUUGAAGCAGACAGCAAGGCUGCCCACUGCCCACUGAUUUCAGCCAAGAUCAGCUGGUACUCACCUGACUCAAAGAUGCUUGAAGUGACUGUUCUCAUUCUGUGUUUUGAGAGAGUCUAUUGCACAACAAUUGCUGAUUGGCAUAGAUCCUGAACACUUAAAAAC
rnacentral:lncRNA from 1 species